AACAACAUCUGGAGGGCUAUAGUUUUCCCAUCCUUAGAUUAGAAGGUGGGGCUUUUGCAAGGAUGGGGAGGCUGUAGCCCUCCAAAGGUUGAAUUAACUUC